UACGUAGGGGGCUAGCGUUGUCCGGAAUCAUUGGGCGUAAAGCGCGUGUAGGCGGCCCGGUAAGUCCGCUGUGAAAGUCGGGGGCUCAACCCUCGAAAGCCGGUGGAUACUGUCGGGCUAGAGUGCGGAAGAGGCGAGUGGAAUUCCUGGUGUAGCGGUGAAAUGCGCAGAUAUCAGGAAGAACACCAAUGGCGAAGGCAGCUCUCUGGGACGGUACUGACGCUGAGACGCGAAAGCGUGGGGAGCGAACAGG
rnacentral:rRNA from 1 species